GUUCUAAUAGCGAAGAAGGCAUACCGUGAGGAGUGCUGGAGCGAUUAGAAGUGAGAAUGCCGGUGUAAGUAACGAAAAGACAGGUGAGAAUCCUGUCCGUCGAAAACCCAAGGAUUCCAGGGGAAGGUUCGUCCGCCCUGGGUAAGUCGGGGCCUAAGGUGAGGCUGAAAAGCGUAGCCGAUGGAUAUCAGGUAGAGAAUCCUGAACUAGUAAAUAAACUGAUGGAGCAACAGAGGAGGAUAACAUUCGCCCCUUAGUGGAUUGGGGUCGAAAAUACGAUGCUGUGUUAUAGGCAAAUCCGUAACACGUGAAGGAGUAGUAUUAAUAGGUAAAGAAUGAUGAUUUCACACUUUCAAGAAAAACUUCUAGGGAUAAUUUAUUUACUACCCGUACCGUAAACCGACACAGGUGGGUAGGUAGAGAAUACUAAGACGCGCGAGAAAACUCUUGUUAAGGAACUCGGCAAAAUGACUCCGUAACUUCGGGAUAAGGAGGACUUUUUAUGAGAAAAGAAAGUCGCAGAGAAUAGGCCCAAGCGACUGUUUAUCAAAAACACAGGUCUCUGCAAAACCGUAAGGUGAAGUAUAGGGGCUGACGCCUGCCCGGUGCUGGAAGAUUAAGAGGAGAUGUUAGGAAACGAAGCAUUGAAUUGAAGUCCCAGUAAACGGCGGCCGUAACUAUAACGGUCCUAAGGUAGCGAAAUUCCUAGUCGGGUAAAUUCCGACCCGCACGAAAGGCGUAACGAUUUGGGCGCUGUCUCAACAAGAGACUCGGUGAAAUCAAGAUGCCGGUGAGAACGCCGGCCACCCGCGACAGGACGAAAAGACCCCGUGGAGCUUUACUGUAGCUUGAUAUUGAUAUUGGAUGCAGAAUGUACAGGAUAGGUGGGAGACUAAGAAGCUGGAACGCUAGUUUCGGUGGAGUCGCCCUUUGGAUACCACCCUUUCUGUAUUUGAUAUCUAACUCGCCCAAGUGGAUUGGGGAGGACAGUGUCUGGUGGGCAGUUUGGCUGGGGCGGUCGCCUCCUAAAGAGUAACGGAGGCGCCCGAAGGUUCCCUCAGAAUGGUCGGAAAUCAUUCUAAGAGUGUAAAGGCAUAAGGGAGCUUAACUGCGAGACCAACAAGUCGAGCAGGUACGAAAGUAGGGCUUAGUGAUCUUACGGUUUCCGCAUGGAAGGGCCGUGACUCAACGGAUAAAAGCUACCCCGGGGAUAACAGGCUUAUCGCAUCCAAGCGUUCACAGCGACGAUGCGGUUUGGCACCUCGAUGUCGGCUCAUCACAUCCUGGAGGUGGAGAAGCUUCCAAGGGUUGGACUGUUCGUCCAUUAAAGUGGUACGCGAGCUGGGUUCAGAACGUCGUGAGACAGUUCGGUCUCUAUCCGUCGUGGGCGUUGGAAAUUUGAAGAGAGCUGCUCCUAGUAUGAGAAGACCGGAGUGGACAUACCACUGGUGUACCAGUUGGCCUGCCAGGGCCACAGCUGGGUAGCUACGUAUGGAAAGGAUAAACGCU
rnacentral:rRNA from 1 species